CCUCCUGCUGUCAUCUGGAGCCGCUCCUGCCGCCCCCUGGCGGCCGCCUCGGGAAGGACAGGCCCCAGUUCACCCCUGGGACUCCUGAGGGUCCCCUUGCAAGGAUGAGCAAGGAGGAUCCUUGGUAUUAUCCCGUAUAUGGGAGGACAGACUCUACCAGAGGUUUAAAAAGUCCUCAAACUUUUUAAACAGGGGGCCAGUUCACUGUCCCUCAGACCGUUGGAGGGUCGGACUAUAGUUUAAAAAAUAACUAUGAACAAAUUCCUAUGCACCCAGCGGUGGCAAAAACACCCGGCGGGCCGCAUGUGGCCCACGGGCCGUAGUUUGAGGACCCCUGCUCGACAGAGGCAAGGAGGACAAGAGCGGUCCUGGCUGGCCAGGACUAGUGAGACCAGUAGAUAAGUUGAGAUGCUACAUGAUCUGGUCCUCCGUGCAGAAGACGUCCACCACCCGCCUCACUAAGGCUGCCCCUGCGAGGCCAGUCCCAGCGUCCAGCCAGUCCUCCCGAGGGGUCCGCCUGGAGCAGAGUCAGCGUACCGCGAGGGUGCCCAAGUGCUGGAGGCUGCUGAGACACUUUCUUGCUCCAGCAAGAGCCUUUGGGAUGUUGACCUCAAGACUGCUCUGUGCCCCUGCCUGGGGCUGGCUCCCUGCUGGACCUGUGACCCAGGACCAGGCAGAGAAUGGAAAUCUGCAAUCACCACUCCAAGGGCAGAAGCAGAAUGGUUUCUAGGUGGAAAACCAAGGUUUCCCAUGAAGUGUUGGAGCCUCAAGCUACAUUUCAGGUUCCAAUUCUCAUUAGAGCUUCACUCUCAUUCUUUCUUGCCCUGUGUCCAGUCAGCGAAGAUAGAAAAUUUCAUGUUACCUUGUACAAGACAGCUUUUGGAAUCCCAAAUAUUCAAAUGAUUUCCCUUUUGCCUCUUUGCAAAUGAUAAUACCCACCGCGAGGAGGCAUCACCCAGACGGCAGCCGCCCUCUCGAGGAGUAGCCACGCUGAGCUGGUUGGAAGGUGGACAUGGUGGCCUCCAGAUUCUCAGGCUUCCUAUCUCCUGGUGAUAAUUAGCCAGGUGAAGACAAUAGCCACCUUUGGAAUAAGUCCAUUUCCAAGUGCCUGCCUCUCUCAAACAUGAUUGAUCAUUCACUCAUGUUUAUUGAAGCCAACUAUGAAUGAUUGAAGGGAAGAUGAGAAUUGUUAACCAGAGUCAAAGGGGGUGGUGUAGGAGAGACCAUUCCAGACAGAAGGACGCACACGUGCAAAGGCCCUGAGGGGGGCCGGAUGCACUCAGGGAGCACAGGAAGGGCUGUGUGGCCGGGGCUCAGAAUCCAGGACGGAGAAAGGAGGGAGGUGCCGGGAGCAGGAGGGCGUGAUCUGACUGUGUGGAGCCUUCCCGCCAUGACUAAUAAUCCUUUGACAACCACAAAGGAAUGGGCAUGUUGCAUCAGAACAGAUACAAGCCAUAGGUGGAAGCAGGGUUCCGGAGCCCUCUGCUGUACCAGAGGCUGGAUUUGGGGGAGAUCCAAGGAUCCCAGAGUGGAAGUAGUGAGGGCAGCUUGGGGUAGUGGCUGUUAGUCGACCAAUACGGAAGUAUAUCAUUUUGUAAACGAUUGGAAAAACUGUUCUGUGCGAAUCUGUUAAAAGUCAGUGAUGCUUAUGGCCAUUUUUGCGCAUUGGGUUAUUUUCAAAUGAGCAAGAGGAAGCCUCUGAGGAGUUUACGUGGAAGCUAACAUGAUCAGAUCUGUGUUUAUCCAAAGGGAGAGGGGAAAAAACAUCCCUUUGUUAUUAAGGGAAAAAGAGGUAAUACAAAAACAUCAUUCCACAAUUCUUUUGUAAUGAAAAACAAUAAAUGCAAA